rnacentral:lncRNA from 1 species
UGCUGUGGCUGUGGUGUAGGCUGGCGGCUACAGCCCCGAUUCAACCCCUAGCCUGGGAACUUCCAUAUGCCAAGAGCAUGGCCUGAAAAAAGGAAAAAAAAAAAAAAAAGAUGAGAUGAGAAAAGAUGCAAGGUCAGGAGUCCUACGGUAUCCUGCAGACUCUGACUUUCCCUCUGCCCUCGAGGAUCUACUAAAUAUUCACCUCCACAGUUGUUUUCCGAGCUCAAGGGAUUCCCUCUUAAUCAAUAAACAUUUCACAACCACACAAACACCAUUAGCUGAAAAUAUUAUUUUGGCUUAGUACGUGUCCUUGUUACAUCGUGGUUUAUAUCUGGAAAGGCCUCCGUAUGAUCAUUAUACAUGGAAGCAGUGAUGUCUCGCUAAUGCAGCAUCACAGGGACGGCUCCUGUACGGGGGGGCUCCAGGCCAUAGCAGUGACCUUCCUGGAUAGAUGAAAAUGACCUCCCUAAAGACCAGCCCUUUGAAAAGUUUCACCAUUUUUCCUGGAACUCUUAGUUUUCAAAACCAUAACAAAAACUUAUGUUUAUCAAUGGAUUUUUUAAAUUCAUUGAAUUAAAAAACAUUAAUUUUAAAAAAUUGGAUUUUUUUAAAUAAAAGUAUAGAGAUGCCUGCCUCUUUAUAAUGUGGAAAUCAAUUUAGCUUUUUCAUCGCCUUCCAGAGCAUCAUGAAGAGAAGGCAUAAUUGAACAUUGUAAUAAUUUGGUACUAGUUUUGCUUUACUCAGCAUUAGAUCACCAGAUGACACUUUGUGCCAUUAUUUUACCCAUUGGUCCCCCUUUUUUGUUUUUUGGCUUUUUAGGGCCGCACCCACAGCAUAUGGAGGUUCCCAGGCUAGGGGUCGAAUUGGAGCUACAGCUACCGACCUACACCACAGCCAUAGUAAUGCCAGAUCCAAGCCACAUCUGCAAACUACACCACAGCUCAUGGCAACGCCAGAUCCUUAACCCACUGACCAAAGCCAGGGAUCGAACUCGUAUCCUCAUGGAUCCUAGUCGAGUUCGUUAACCACUGAGCCACAAUGGGUAUAUACCCAAAAGAAUUUAAAGCAUGGUCUCAAUGAGAUUUUGUGUGCUCCUGUUCACAGCAGCACGGUUCACCAUAGCCAAAAGGUGGGAACAGCUGGAGGGUCUGUCGACUCUUGGUGGGUAAACAAAGUCUGGUGUAUACCUACAGUGGAGUAGUAUUCAGCCUUAAAAAGGAAGUGUUGUCAGAGUUCCCGGUGUGGCUCAGCGGAAAUGAGGCUGACUGGUAUCCGUGAGGACACAGGUUCGAUCCCUGGCCUUGUUCAGCGAGUUAAGGAUCGGGCAUUGCCGUGAGCUGUGGUGUAGGUCCCAGAUGUGGCUCAGAUCCUGCGUUGCUGUGGCUGUGGCAGAGGCCAGCGGCCGAAGCUCCAAUUCGGCCCCUAGCCUGGGAUGCUCUAUAUGCCACUAGUGCAGCUUUAAAAAAAAGGAAGUAUUUUCCCCCAGAGUCCCCACGUUGUCCUGGACAGAGUGAGUUUCCUUCCUGAGGUCAUUUCCACCCAGGCCACGACCUGUACCCGUCAUGGCCCACCCCUCACCCCCGCCCUGCCAUCUCCCAGCUCCCAAGGAGGUCAAAAGAGGAGCGAAGGGAACGGAAGAGAUGGGGAAGGGAAAAGUGGCUCAGGGGACAGCCCCCCUCUGCGCCGGGCGGGACGACAGCUGGAUCCGUGGGCACGUGCACCUAUAUGCUAUGAUCCCAUUUUACAGAUGACGGAAAGGCGGCUUCCAGUUUCCAAAUGCCAAAAUGAGUGGAGUGUGAGAAACAAGAAAGUGUUGGGAGUUGGUUACUCCCAGAUUUCUAGAGAAGUGAACCUGUGUCCCAGUGCUGCAGAGACAUGGCAGAUCGUGCUGUGGCACGGCAGGAACUCCCAGGCCUAUUCUUUUUUUUUUUCUUUUUUUUGUCUUUUGUCUUUUGUUGUGUUGUUGUUGUUGUUGCUAUUUCUUGGGCCGCUCCUGCGGCAUAUGGAGGUUCCCAGGCCAGCGGCCACAUCUCCAAUUUGACUCCUAGCCUGGAAACAUCCAUAUGCUAUGAGAGCGGCCCUAGAAAAGGCAAAAGGACAAAACAAAACAAAACAAAACAAAGCACAAGAGACAGUGGCUGGCUCCCUUACUAUGGCAAACUCAGAAUAAUGGCUUUUGCUUUUCGCAUUUAUUGAUUUUUUUUUCUUUUAAUGAGCACACCUGCAGCACAGGGAAGUUCCCAGGCCAUGGGUCGAGUCAACCUACGCCACAGCCACGGCAGCACUGGAUCCGAGCCACAUCCGCCACCUACAACACAGCUGGUGGCAACGCCCAGAUACUUAACCUACCUAGAAAGGCCAGGGGUCGAACCCACAUCCUCAUGGACACUAUGUCAGGUUCUUAACCACUGAGCCGCAACAGAAACUCCCGGCUUUUCUCAUUUUAUUGGUCUUCCUUUGUUUCCACAGAUGUUUACUAUAUAAUUAAAAAAUGCUAUUCAACCUUUUGCAACACUUAAUAACUCCCCAGACAUAACUGUUACAACCCUGGCUUACUAGCAAGACCACCGGCCUCGCCCGUCACCUCUCCCACUGGUUGUCAUGACAUUAACCAGCCAUCUGGCAAGUGACAGGAUCACCACGUGCCAUAUAGUUCUUUCAUUAUUAUAGCACUGAAAUUUUUAACAGUGGGCAAUCAUUUGAAAAAUUCUUUUAGAACAAUUCUUUUGCCACUUAGACUCUUCUAUGGUACUUACUUCAGAAACUGAGGAAGAGCAAGUAUUAAUUUGUUCUUAUGUUCGUGGAAGGUUGAGUGGCCGUCAUUGAUGACCUCCAAACAAUAGCAACGUUUGUACAUCCUACUUGAGAAUGUACAUGACUCCGAGCUCGCACCGCUCACUGCACGACAGACCAAUAAGCCAAGAGAUGACAUGUUGGGGCGAGGAAUAGUGACUUUAUUCAGAAAGCCAGCAGACCAAAAAGACGGUGGACUCGUGUCCCAAAGAACCAGCUUGCCUGAGUUAGCAUUCAGCCUUCUUUUAUACUAAAAGGGGAGGGCGCAACGUCAGCCACUUCCUGGUUCCCAUCGACCUCUGGAAGGGAUGUGUUAAUGUCUUCCUUCCCGCAGCCACUCACAGGUGGACCUGGUCAGGAUGUUUCCUGGGAGCUGAACAAGGGUAUUUUAGCUUCAUGCUCAUUACUUUGGGAGGCAGGGUUCCCAGAGAUGGGCCAUGAUUAUAAUUUAAGCUUACGGGCAACAGCCCUUUAGUGAUUAACUUGUAAUAGAACACAAAGCUUCUUGCCUCUUACACAGGUUAGGAACUCUUUCCGUUUGCCUGGAUCUGAAUAACCACCAGCUGCACGUCGGAGGUAAGAAAGUGUUUGAUAAAGCUGGGUCUAUGAUCGUGCUGAAUCGUCAUAAAGGAAAAUAUUUUUUAAAAUAGGCGCCACACUUUUCUCCUUGUACCUCCACAUAUAUGACUUCUCCCAGUUCUGUUAGCAGUAUCCAUUUGUCUCAGGCAGGGUGGUGCUUCUUAAGGAAGGAAGGUAAAGAGAAAAUGUUAUGUUUUUGCAGUCUAGCCAUUGCUUUUGAGAAAUUUGGAGGGGGGAUCUUUUUAGGGCCAUACCCUCAGCGUAUGGAGGUUCUCAGGCUAGGGGUCAAAUCAGAGCUGUAGCCGCUGGCCUACACCACAGCCAUAGCAACACAGGAUCCUUAACCCACUAAGCGAGGCCAGGGAUUGAAACUUCGUCCUCAUGGAUGCUAGUCAGAUUCAUUUCUGCUGAGCGGGAACUCCGCUUUUGAGAAUUUUUAAGAUCACAGACUUGCAAAGAGACAGAUGCUUUAUAUUUCCAGGGGCAAAUCGGGCUGGCUUGUGGAUUAUUACAAGAACAUAAUUUUUAACCCUGAUGAUCAUUUGAAAAAUGUAAGAGGAGUUCCCGUCGUGGCUCAGUGGUUAAUAAAUCCGACCCCGGAACCAUGAGGUUGAGGGUUUGAUCCCUGGCCUCGCUCAGUGGGUUGGGGAUCCGGCGUUGCCGUGAGCUGUGGUGUAGGUUGCAGACGCGGCUCGGAUCCCGCGUUGCUGUGGCUCUGGCAUAAGGCCAGCGGCUACAGCUCCGAUUCCACCCCUAGCCUGGGAACCUCAACACUGAAUAAACGUGAUUGAUUCUCACAUAGGGCUCAUUUUGAAUCCAUGCGUUAAGGCUCAUCAGCCCAGGUGAUAGGCUGUCAUUUCUGGUUCUUUAUCAAUUUGGCUCCCUCUAGUGGUCAGUGUGUGAGUUUACUAAAAUUCUCCAGUAGGUUCUCAUUCUUUAAAACGUCCUUUAAAAAACAAAGCAGCGUCAUUUCUUUUGUUUAGGGGGAACUGAUUGACUGAAAUUAAGAGAAUAUGUAUAUUUUUAGCAAAUAUGAUAAUCAUUUUUUGAAGAAUUACUAAGAUUUUAUAUAGGGUUGACAGAUUUAGCCAAUAAAAAAUACAAGGUACUCAGUACAAUUUAAAUUUCAGAUUAAGAAAAUUUUUUAAUAAUAAAUAUGCUCCAAAU